rnacentral:rRNA from 1 species
UCAAGCUACGAAGGGCAUAUGGUGGAUGCCUUGGCGCCAUGAGCCGAUGAAGGACGCGAUAAGCUGCGAUAAGCCGCGGGGAACUGCACAUAAGUAUCGAUCCGCGGAUUUCCGAAUGGGGAAACCCGGCAGCCGUAAUGGGCUGUCACCCGAAAGGGAGGGAACCCGGUGAACUGAAACAUCUAAGUAGCCGGAGGAAGAGAAAUCAAACGAGAUGCCCACAGUAGCGGCGAGCGAAGAGGGCAUAGCCCAAACCGGAGGCCUUCGGGCCUGCGGGGUUGCGGACCGGCGUAAACCGACGAGUUGCUAGUAGAAUUACCUGGAAAGGUAAGCGAGAGAGGGUAAAAGCCCCGUAUACGAAAGCGACGAGGAGGCGGCCGGAAUCCAGAGUACCACGGAGCACGAGGAAUUCUGUGGGAAACCGGGGGGACCACCCUCCAAGGCUAAACACUCCAUGGCGACCGAUAGCGCAUAGUACCGUGAGGGAAAGGUGAAAAGAACCCCGGGAGGGGAGUGAAAGAGAACCUGAAACCGUAUGUCUACAAGCAGUCGGAGCGAAAGCGACGGCGUGCCUAUUGAAGAAUGAGCCAACGAGUUGCGUGUGCUGGCGAGGUUAAGCAGAAGAUGCGGAGCCGUAGGGAAACCGAGUCUGAACAGGGCGUCAAGUCAGUAUACGCAGACCCGAAACUGCAGUGAUCUACGCAGGGCCAGGUUGAAACGCAGGUAAAAUUGCGCGGAGGACCGAACCGGGACAUGUUGAAAAAUGUUCGGAUGAGCUGUGCGUAGGGGUGAAAUUCCAAUCGAACGCAGAGAUAGCUGGUUCUCCUCGAAAUAGCUUUAGGGCUAGCCUCAGGCAGUAAGCGCAGGCGGUAGAGCACUGAUCGGGAUAGGGACUGUAAUGGUUACCGAACCCUGUCAAACUCCGAAUGGCAGCGCUGCAGAGCCUGGGAGUCAGACUACGAGUGAUAAGAUCCGUGGUCAAAAGGGAAAGAGCCCAGACCACCAGCUAAGGUCCCCAAUGCCGUACUAAGUGGAAAAGGAUGUGGGGUUUCAUAAACAACCAGGAUGUUGGCUCAGAAGCAGCCACCAUUUAAAGAGUGCGUAAUAGCUCACUGGUCGAGAGACCCUGCGCCGAAGAUUCCCGGGGCUAAAGUACGGAACCGAAGCUAUGGAUGCAUGCUUAGGCAUGCGUGGUAGAGGAGCGUUCCCGUCGGGUUGAAGUCGUCCUGUAAGGGACGGUGGACGGACGGGAAGUGAGAAUGUUGGCAUGAGUAGCGAAAAGAACGGUGAGAAUCCGUUCCACCGAAAACACAAGGAUUCCUGAGCAACGAUCGUCGUCUCAGGGUAAGUCGGGACCUAAUCCGAGGCAUGGAGCGUAGGAGAUGGACAUCCGGUUGAAAUUCCGGAACCGGCAGGAAUCGUCAAGAGCAAUGGAGUGACACAGGAAGGCAGGCGCGCAUGAGAUUGGAAGUUCAUGUGCAAGCGUGCGACGCGCGGGACAGGCAAACCCGUCCCGCACAAGCGCCAGGCGUGACGCGGAGGGAACCGCAAGGGACCCGAAGGCGCCGGACCUACACUGUCGAGAAAAGCUUCUAGCAAGAGACCUGCCGCCCGUACCGUAAACCGACACAGGUGUGUGGGGAGAGAAUCCUAAGGUGCGCGGGAGAACCCUCGUUAAGGAACUCGGCAAAAUGUACCCGUAACUUCGGGAUAAGGGUAGCCAUCUGGUGUGAAGGGACUAGCUCCCGGAGCGCCGGAAGGCCGCAGAGAAGAGGCCCAAGCGACUGUUUACCAAAAACUUAGGUGCCUGCCAAAGCGAAAGCUGACGUAUAGGUGCUGACACCUGCCCAGUGCCGGAAGGUUAAGGAAGGAGGUCCGGGUUCGACCCAAAGCCUUCGACCGAAGCCCCGGUGAACGGCGGCCGUAACUAUAACGGUCCUAAGGUAGCGAAAUUCCUUGUCGGGUAAG